rnacentral:rRNA from 1 species
UGCAGUCGAGCGAAUGGAUUAAGAGCUUGCUCUUAUGAAGUUAGCGGCGGACGGGUGAGUAACACGUGGGUAACCUGCCCAUAAGACUGGGAUAACUCCGGGAAACCGGGGCUAAUACCGGAUAACAUUUUGAACCGCAUGGUUCGAAAUUGAAAGGCGGCUUCGGCUGUCACUUAUGGAUGGACCCGCGUCGCAUUAGCUAGUUGGUGAGGUAACGGCUCACCAAGGCAACGAUGCGUAGCCGACCUGAGAGGGUGAUCGGCCACACUGGGACUGAGACACGGCCCAGACUCCUACGGGAGGCAGCAGUAGGGAAUCUUCCGCAAUGGACGAAAGUCUGACGGAGCAACGCCGCGUGAGUGAUGAAGGCUUUCGGGUCGUAAAACUCUGUUGUUAGGGAAGAACAAGUGCUAGUUGAAUAAGCUGGCACCUUGACGGUACCUAACCAGAAAGCCACGGCUAACUACGUGCCAGCAGCCGCGGUAAUACGUAGGUGGCAAGCGUUAUCCGGAAUUAUUGGGCGUAAAGCGCGCGCAGGUGGUUUCUUAAGUCUGAUGUGAAAGCCCACGGCUCAACCGUGGAGGGUCAUUGGAAACUGGGAGACUUGAGUGCAGAAGAGGAGAGUGGAAUUCCAUGUGUAGCGGUGAAAUGCGUAGAGAUAUGGAGGAACACCAGUGG